ensembl:snRNA U6 U6 spliceosomal RNA
GCGCUCCCUUCGGCAGCCCAUAUACCAAAACUGGAAUGACACACAGAAGAUUAGCAUGGCCCCUGCACAAGGAUGACACGCAAAUUCGUGGAGCGUUCCAUAUUUUA